AAGUCGUAACAAGGUUUCCGUAGGUGAACCUGCGGAAGGAUCAUUAAAAGAGUCGGGAGGUCUCCAUGUCCUCCCAUCCCUCUUCACACCUUUGUUGUUUCCAGACCAAAACCUGUUGCUUUGGCGGGUAAAAGCACUCUUGCCGUAAGGGAGGAGUACCGGUCUCUAAAACAGGCCGGCCCGUCGGAGGUCAAUCAUUGACAAACUCAUGAAUAACAUUCUCAAUGUUGUACACAUAAAGUCUUAUUCUUGUUGGGCGGUGAUUUUGGUGACUGUGCGACCCCCGCGGUCGAACAGGUACCGGGUCAUGGUCCGAGGGAAAUCAUUACAAAUGAAUCAAAACUUUCAACAACGGAUCUCUUGGUUCUG
rnacentral:misc_RNA from 1 species